rfam:Enterococcus avium ATCC 14025 genomic scaffold acpMO-supercont1.10, whole genome shotgun sequence.
GGAGGAGUAGCGAAGUGGCUAAACGCGACGGACUGUAAAUCCGUUCCUUAGGGUUCAGUGGUUCGAAUCCACUCUCCUCCA